rnacentral:rRNA from 1 species
UAAGCGGUGAUAAAUCUCAUCGAAGGCUAAAUACUGGUGGGAGACCGAUAGUGAACAAGUACCGUGAGGGAAAGUUGACAAGCACUUUGAAAAGAGGGUGAAAAGAACCUGAAACCGCUACGGGGAAACCGGAUUGCGUUGUAUUGAGAAGGGGCGUACUGUUCAGCAUAGAUUCUAUUUGUGUGUAUUCAGUGCGUUUCCUACCUGUCGUGUGCUUUGCACGGUCGAUUUUGGGCUGUGUGGGGCUGAGGUAUCCCCAAAUUUUGGGUUGAUGACGAUAGGGCGCCAACGCGAUACGACCCGUCUUGAAACACGGACCAAGGAGUCCAGCAUAGCUGCGAGUCAAAGGGUUUUGAAACCCCAGGGCGCAGUGAAAGCAAUUGUUGCAAAACGUUGCAGUUUGAGGCGGCCUAGGAUCGUUGAUUCUAGGUCUGACCUAGAGCAGUUAUGCUGGUACCCGAAAGAUGGUGAACUAUGCUUGAGUAGGGUGAAGCCAGAGGAAACUCUGGUGGAAGCUCGUAGCGUUGCUGACGUGCAAAUCGCUCGUCUAACUCGGGUAUAGGGGCGGAAGACUAAUCGAACCAUCUAGUAGCUGGUUUCCUCCGAAGUUUCUCUCAGGAUAGCAGGCCGACGCAAUGUUGUUGUGUGUGGUAAAGCGAAUGAUUAGCGUAUUUGGGGGCUACUAGCCUUCAGUCGAUUCUCAAACUUUAAAUACGCACGGAUGUUGCUGCUUUUUUUUUGAGCGGCAUCGUCAAAAACGUCGGCCUUGUGGGCCACUUUUGGU